AGUUGGAUUCUGAGACACGAAUCCAGGCCCUACGGGGCGCAGCAGGCGCGAAAACUUUACAAUGCGGGCAACCGUGAUAAGGGAACCUCGAGUGCCUGUAAAUGCAGGCUGUUCAGGUGCCUAAAACACACCUGAAGAAAGGGCCGGGCAAGACCGGUGCCAGCCGCCGCGGUAAUACCGGCGGCUCGAGUGGUGGCCGCUUUUAUUGGGCUUAAAGCGUUCGUAGCUGGGUUGUUAAGUCUCUUGGGAAAUCUGGCGGCUUAACCGUCAGGCGUCUAAGGGAUACUGGCAAUCUUGGAACCGGGAGAGGUGAGGGGUACUUCGGGGGUAGGAGUGAAAUCCUGUAAUCCUCGAGGGACCACCUGUGGCGAAGGCGCCUCACCAGAACGGCUUCGACAGUGAGGGACGAAAGCUGGGGGAGCAAACCGGAUUAGAUACCCGGGUAGUCCCAGCCGUAAACUAUGCGCGUUAGGUGUAUCGGUGACCACGAGUUAC
rnacentral:rRNA from 1 species